rnacentral:rRNA from 1 species
UACGGAGGGGCAAGCGUUGUCCGGAUUUAUUGGGCGUAAAGAGCGUGUAGGCGGCCAUGUAGGUCCGUUGUGAAACCUGAGGCUCAACCUCGAGACGCCGAUGGAAACCAUGUGGCUAGAGUCCGGAAGAGGAGAGUGGAAUUCCUGGUGUAGCGGUGAAAUGCGCAGAUAUCAGGAAGAACACCCGUGGCUAAGGCGGCUCUCUAGUACGGUACUGACGCUGAGACGCGAAGCGUGGGAGCGAAGCAGG